UGCAGAGAAGCUAAAGGAAGGAAUCUACUGU
rnacentral:piRNA from 2 species